CGGUGCAUAGAAAUUAAUCUCU
rnacentral:miRNA from 1 species